CCCCUCCCCUGAUGUCGAAGGAUGUUCGUAAUCUUCAGUCGUUUGCUGGACGCUGAAGUGUAAACAUUGUGUGUUAACGUCUUUCACAUCAAGAUCAGUGAUUGAAAAUCGAAUGAAAGUGACGCGCCAGCGACCGCCAUGACACUUGGCGAUCAGUUACUUGAGCUUCGCACGGUUAGAUGACGCCAUUAGUCCAUUUGAGAGUUUAAAACGAGAAAGAACAGAUUUUUUGUGACACAAUGGAGUGUUCUUCCGAGGUUCGCAAAGUCAUCCAGGGUUUUCCAAGGUUCUGCAAGGUCAUCCAGGGUUCUCCAUGGUUCUCCAAGGUCAUCUAUUCUCUUCCAAGGUGCACUCAUUCUCUACAU